AUGCAUUCUCCCUUGGAUGGUUUGGGGCGGGCCUCAGCUAGGCUCUGCUGGCGGGCCGUGCAACCUCUGGCCUCGCUAGAGUACCGUUGCGGCCCUCGUGCGGCGCAGCUGCGUGUGCGCUGGUCCGGCCUGGAGGAAUCGCCCCUUUGGUCUCCCGGGUUUAGCGCGACUGCCCGCCACCGCAAGCCCCCCCCCCCGCCGCCCCGCGGACUGGCGCGGGGCCAAGUGGCGCUGCGGGUGGACGCCCCCGCGGAGUGUUCAAAGACGGUUCGAGAACAUGUCUCGGACAACUGCAGAUCAAAUGACUGGAAAAUUGAGAGCUUAACAGCUGAAUUUGUGAACUUAAGAGUUCCUCCGUUUAAUAAAUGUAGGUUUGAUUUCAAUUUCAAAUCUCCCCAAGCUGCCUAAAUUGAAAAAGUUUGUACUCCGUGAAAAUAGAUUCUUUGGAGGUCUGAAUAUGUUUGCAGAAAAACUUCCAAAUCUCAUACAUUUAAACUUAAGUGGAAAAAAACUGAAAGAUAUCAGCAUCUUGGAACCUUUGAGAAAGUUAGAAUGUCUAAAAAGCCUGGACCUCUUUAACUGUGAGGUUAUUAACCUGAAUGACUACCAAGAGAGUGGCUUCAAGCUCCUGCCCCAGCUGACCUACUUGGAUACCUAUGACCCAGAGGACCAGGAAGCCCCUGACUCAGAUGCCCAGGUGGAUGGUGUGGAUAAAGAGGAGGAGGAUGAAGAAGGAGAAGAUGAGAAAGAGGAGGAGAAUGAGGAUGGUGAAGAAGAGGAGUUGGAUGAAGAGGAAGAUGAAGACGAAGCUGUAGAAGGGGAUGAUGACAAAGAUGAAGUCAGUGAGGAGGAAGAAGAAUUUGGACUUGAUGAAGAUAGAUGAGGAUGAAGAGGAGGAAGAAAUCGGAAAAGGUGAAAACAGGAAGAGAGAAACAGAUGAUGAAGACGAUGGUUAA